AGACAGCUUGAAAGAUAGUUUACUAAAUUACUUCCUACAUUGCGCAGAUCGGUUUUCCUUUCUUCGCCCUGCAGAAUUUAAGUUCCAGUCUCUAUUUAUUUCCAGCACGACUCGUCUGCUCGUUAGCAGACAAACAUUUUAAUUUAUAUCAGGUUAGUAAUAUGUCAGAUAAAGUAAUGGGCACAGUUAAGUGGUUCAAUGAGUCUAAAGGUUUUGGUUUCAUUGAGCAGCAAAACGGUCCAGACGUGUUUGCACACUUCAGCGCAAUCACAGGUUCCGGCUUCAAAACACUGGUCGAAGGCCAGUCAGUUGAGUUCUCAGUAACUCAAGGCCAGAAAGGCCCACAAGCCGAGAACAUUGUCGUUCUGUAAUUUCAGAGUGAC
rnacentral:sRNA from 1 species